AAACUAUCAAAUGGUCGAACGCCAUUUUUAACGGUUUUGUUUGUGGUUUUUUUACCUUGUUAUUCAACAAAAUGCAUACAGCAGUGCAUUUACUUUGGUUUUAGUUUUUACAACUAAUAAAGUACUCUUUGAAUUCGUGAGAGAAAAUUGAACGUGGGCAUGGGACUUUAACAUUGUUGUUUGUUCGGUACAAGGGUGUACCAACAAUAAAAGGCCCAUAUUUGGUUUCCCACAUCCCUUCAGUAGAUAUAAGCCGUCAAGAACCCUGGAUAAUGUAGUUUGGAUUGCCAGUUGGCUAGGUGCCGGAGGACAACAGCAGCAAUUUGUUGCAAAAUGGGUGAUUAAUUUUGCUAAGAGAACUGGAUUUUCAACCUUUUGCUCAACGUGUGGACAGAUUCAACAUUUGAAAAAUAAAUGUUCCACCAGAUGCAACGACACAGAUCGUAUUUCUUAACCGUACAACAGUAAGCCUCAGUCAGUUAUAACAACAUAACAAUCCUCCAAUAAAUCGAGGCUUUCACGUCGGUGUUUCAAUUAAACUAAACAGGGUCGAAUGACCGAAGACCGCUUUGCAAGAGC